rnacentral:rRNA from 1 species
GAGCGGUAACAGGUGUAGCAAUACAUGCUGACGAGCGGCGAACGGGUGAGUAAUGCUUCGGAAUCUGCCCAAUGGUGGGGAAUAACCAGCCGAAAGGUUGGCUAAUACCGCAUAAGCCCUACGGGGGAAAGCAGGGGAUCGCAAGACCUUGCGCCGAUGGAUGAGCCGAAGUCGGAUUAGCUAGUUGGUAGGGUAACGGCCUACCAAGGCGACGAUCCGUAGCUGGUCUGAGAGGACGACCAGCCACACUGGGACUGAGACACGGCCCAGACUCCUACGGGAGGCAGCAGUGGGGAAUAUUGGACAAUGGGGGAAACCCUGAUCCAGCGACGCCGCGUGUGUGAAGAAGGCCUGCGGGUUGUAAAGCACUUUUAGUGGGGAUGAAAAGCUCAGGGCUAACACCUCUGGGUCUUGACCUAACCCACAGAAAAAGCACCGGCUAACUCUGUGCCAGCAGCCGCGGUAAU